rnacentral:rRNA from 1 species
GAUGAACGCUGGCGGCGUGCCUAAUACAUGCAAGUCGAGCGAACGGACGAGAAGCUUGCUUCUCUGAUGUUAGCGGCGGACGGGUGAGUAACACGUGGAUAACCUACCUAUAAGACUGGGAUAAAUUCGGGAAACCGGAGCUAAUACCGGAUAAUAUUUUGAACCGCAUGGUUCAAAAGUGAAAGACGGUCUUGCUGUCACUUAUAGAUGGAUCCGCGCUGCAUUAGCUAGUUGGUAAGGUAACGGGUUACCAAGGCAACGAAGCAUAGCCGGCCUGAGAGGGAGAUGGGGCCACCUGGAAAUGGGACACGGUCCCGACUCCUACGGGAGGCAGCAGUAGGGAAUCGUCCGCAAUGGGCGAAAGCCUGACGGAGCAACGCCGCGUGAGUGAUGAAGGUCUUCGGAUCGUAAAACUCUGUUAUUAGGGAAGAACAUAUGUGUAAGUAACUGUGCACAUCUUGACGGUACCUAAUCAGAAAGCCACGGCUAACUACGUG